AGGUGGGGGCCUGAGCCCAGGGUUUGGUAGGCAAGGGGGGAGGUGGGUGCAAUGUUUCUUCUUUUGAUGUGUCCUUGUCUCUACCUCAGGGCCCUGGACGCCCUGCCUGUUCAGAAGAGACUGUGGAUGUCCCCAAGCCUCGUGGUCCCUGCUUCGGAUGAUGUGGGGCAGCAUCCAUCUGAACGCAUAUCACUACCAAGUCCAAGGUUUUGGAAGGAAGCCCUUCUCCUCUCCCAUCUCAGUAUUAGACUAUCGGACCUUGGGACACGGGACUCAGGCCGCUGACUCUGCAUCCCUCACAAGUGCACAGAGCUGCCUGCCCUUUUGCCUUGUGUCCAUCCUGGAGCGGCCUUCUGCCAGCUUCUAUGUUGCCUGUCCUUGGUCAGCUUGAAUCUCUUGAGAGAGCUGAGUCUUGUGUGUGCCUAGGCCCUGCCACAGGUAGGGCCGUGGACGGCCUGCCUGUUGAGGCGAGUUUAUGGAUGUCCCCGGCCCCCAGUGGUCCCUGCUUCGGAUGAUUUGGGGCAAUUCCAUCUGAAUGCACAUCACUACCAAGUCCAAGGUUUUGGAAGGAAGCCCUUCUCCUCUCCCAUCUCAAGAUUACACCAUGGGACCCUGGAAGAGGGGACUCAGGCCCCUGUCCCUGGAUCCUUGACCACUGCACACUGCUGCCUGCCUUUUCCUUGUGUCCAUCCGGGAACAGCCUUCUGCCAGCUUUGAUGUUACCUGUCCUCGGUCCACUUGAAUCUGUUGAGAGAGCUGAGUCCUGUGUGUGCCUAGGCCCUGCCACAGGUAGGUGGGUGUCCAUAGA